UCAGCAAUGACGUGGAAGGCCUAGUGGCGAACGGGUGAGUAACACGUGAGGAACCUACCCCGGACUCAGGGAUAACAGACGGAAACAUCUGCUAAUACCUGAUGCCGUCGGAGCAUCACAUGGUGCACUGACGAAAGAAUCUCGGUUCGGGAGGGCCUCGCGGCCUAUCAGCUAGUUGGUGGGGUAACGGCCUACCAAGGCAUCGACGGGUAGCUGGUCUGAGAGGAUGAUCAGCCACACUGGGACUGAGACACGGCCCAGACUCCUACGGGAGGCAGCAGUGGGGAAUCUUGCGCAAUGGGCGAAAGCCUGACGCAGCAACGCCGCGUGCGGGAAGAAGGCCUUAGGGUUGUAAACCGCUUUCAGUAGGAACGAAAAUGACGGUACCUGCAGAAGAAGGUGCGGCCAACUACGUGCCAGCAGCCGCGGUGACACGUAGGCACCAAGCGUUGUCCGGAUUUAUUGGGCAUAAAGAGCUCGUAGGCGGUUCAGUAAGUCGGGUGUGAAAACUCUGGGCUUAACCCAGAGCCGCCACUCGAUACUGCUGUGACUUGAGUUCGGUAGGGGAGCAGGGAAUUCCUAGUGUAGCGGUGAAAUGCGCAGAUAUUAGGAGGAACACCGGUGGCGAAGGCGCUGCUCUGGGCCGAUACUGACGCUGAGGAGCGAAAGCGUGGGUAGCAAACAGGAUUAGAUACCCUGGUAGUCCACGCCGUAAACGUUGGGCACUAGGUGUGGGUUCCAACCAACGGAAUCCGCGCCGUCGCUAACGCAUUAA
rnacentral:rRNA from 1 species